rnacentral:rRNA from 1 species
GCAAGUCGAGCGAGAACCGCAAGGGGGACAGCGGCGAACNNNNNAGGAAUACGUAGGUGACGUACCCUCGGGGCGAGGACAGCCACGGGAAACUGUGGGUAAUACUCGAUAAACUUCCUGACCAUUAUCGGAUGGGAAGCAAUGAGUGUGAUUCCACCUGAGGAGCGGCUUACGCAGUAUCAGCUAGUUGGUGAGGUAACGGCUCACCAAGGCUACGACGCUUAGGGGGUGUGAGAGCAUGGCCCCCACCACUGGCACUGAGACACUGGCCAGACACCUACGGGUGGCUGCAGUCGAGAAUCUUCGGCAAUGGACGCAAGUCUGACCGAGCGACGCCGCGUGUGGGAUGAAGGCCUUCGGGUUGUAAACCACUGUCAGAGGGGAUGAAAUAUACGAGAGUUAUCUCUUGUAUUUGACAGAGCCUCAGAGGAAGCACGGGCUAAGUUCGUNNNNGCAGCCGCG